CAAUAGUUAAUCUGGAAAGUGUUAGUGUCAAAAGUGUUGGUGUUAGUGUUAAAAAUGCCUAAGCUUUGUGUGGCAAUAGGCUGUAAUAACAAACAGUUGUCAGUCUUUUCCUUUCCAAAGGAUGCAGACAGCAAGAGAGAAAACGUCUGACAGACAAUGCUACACCUACUAUAAUCAACUGCCCUAAUCCUCCUCCAUCAACUGCUGGUAGACGUGUGCUACGCAGGAUCGAAAACACUGCCAGGUUUCCUUGAUCCAAUUCUGAACCAGAUGGCACAGUUAGCCAAAACAAUGAAGGCAUCUGAGCUUGCCAUUUCAUUAAUUUUUGAUGAGAUGGCGAUAGAAAAACAUCUGGAUUACAAUCGGGCAUUGGACAGGAUAGAUGGGCUCACGCAUGAAGGCGAGGUGGCUAACCAAGCCAUGGUACUGAUGGCUCGAGGAGUGGCCUCAAAGUGGAAGC